UCGAGUAAACCCUGCGCUGGCUUGACUUACAAAACCCAAACUCCAAAGCCUAAGACUAUUCACAGGGAUUGUAGUAAGGAAAUGAGGUAUAGUAUUCAAAACAACUUACUAAAACUUCGCUUCCGUUACCGCCCAAUGCGUAUUGUGUUUACACUAGGUUAACCCUUGGUGUUUCAGUUUUCUUCUUACACCGUAUCUAGAUACUUCUUCGUUAAGGUACCUAUGAUAUUCUAAGAUCACAAAGUCUAUUGAAUUGUAAUCCCCUGUAAAUUGAUUCAUGGGAUUUUUCGCUAGAUAUUUGAAGCCAAUCGUACUCUAUCUCAAUCUACUUUACAUUUUCUAUGAGUUCAAUCCUAUUCUAUAUCCACUGUGUGCUAACUUACU